rnacentral:lncRNA from 12 species
AUGUUGGAGGGCAGCAGAAGCUCGCGCAGUUGGGAGGGGAGCUUGGCGAAGAAGUCCUUGCUGGUGACUGCUCCCCACCUGAAGGGGCUUCUUUCAGCUUUAAGAAGCACAUUUGCGGGGCGCCUGGGUGGCUCCAUCGAUGGCUCUGCCUUCAGCGCAGGGCAUGAUCUUGGAGUCCUGGUAUUGAGCCCUGCAUCGGGCUCCCUGCUCAGUGGGGAGACUGCUCCUCCCUCUGCCUCUGAGCCUCCCCCUGCUUGUUCUCUCUCUCUGUCUAUCUCUCUGUCUCUCUCAAAUAAAUAAAUAGGAUCUUUAAAAAAAGAAGAAGGAGAACGUUUGCACUGGCCUUGCCUCAUUCUCCCUCAGACCUGGCCGCAUCCCCCUACUACACAGAUGUGGAAAUAGGCUCUGCUCACUGCCUACUCCUUAUCAACCUCGAAGCCACAGGACCUCCUCCAUCACAAAGCCUCCUCCAGCCUUGUCACCCUCCCAACAACCCUCCUGGGGAGUCACGUGGGCCUGACAAUCCCAUUUCACAGAUGGGGAUGGAAGAUGCCAGGGCACUGGCGGAAGUGAGUGCAUCCCUGGGUGUCCUGUAUCCCUGUCAGUCCAGGGACUCCCUGGCAGGAACUAGUCUCUACCUCCUGGCCCAGUGUGUAUAUUCCAGGGUCUCUGAUGAGCAGAUCUAGCCAGCAGGAAAAGCUGCCCACAGGGACUCAGUCCCCAUGCCUCACUGGGGUUUGGGCCCAGUCCUGGGUCCCUGACCUCCUGCAUGCAUCAUUGCCUUGUUCCACAAUUCUGGGCCACUUCUCCUGGCUUCUUGGACGUAAGACUCCAGGGGGUCAGGGAGCAGAUAGAGAGACAACCCUGCUGUCCCCAGUGAGGUAACUCUUAGCUUGAGGCAAGCUUCCAGGGAGCCUGGGACUAUGCUACCCUGGACAUGACCACAGGAGCUAAAGGGGAGGACGCUGAACCCAGCACUUUAAUCUUAUAGGUAGGUCAGGAGCCUGCAUUUUGGGAGGGCAGGAUUGGGUCCCAGCAGCCCAGCCAUACAUGUCAGAGGUGGACCUCAGACUCCCAAUUCCCCAACCUGC